rnacentral:rRNA from 1 species
UACGGGAGGCAGCAGUGGGGAAUAUUGCACAAUGGGCGCAAGCCUGAUGCAGCCAUGCCGCGUGUAUGAAAAAGGCCUUCGGGCUGUAAAGUACUUUCAGUCGUGAGGAAGGUGUUAAGGUUAAUAACCUUAGCAAUUGACGUUAGCGACAGAAGAAGCACCGGCUAACUCCGUGCCAGCAGCCGCGGUAAUACGGAGGGUGCGAGCGUUAAUCGGAAUUACUGGGCGUAAAGGGCACGCAGGCGGUUAAUUAAGUUGGAUGUGAAAUCCCCGGGCUUAACCUGGGAAUGGCAUUCAAGACUGGUUAGCUAGAGUCUUGUAGAGGGGGGUAGAAUUCCAUGUGUAGCGGUGAAAUGCGUAGAGAUGUGGAGGAAUACCGGUGGCGAAGGCGGCCCCUGGACAAAGGCUGACGCUCAUGUGCGAAAGCGUGGGGAGCAAAC